rnacentral:misc_RNA from 1 species
CGCACCUUGCGCCUCUUGGUAUUCCGAGAGGCAUGCCUGUUUGAGUGUCAUGAAAUAUCAAUCCCCAUGGGUUUCUUGACCCGUGGUGGACUUGGACUUGGGCGUCUGCCUCUCAAGGCUCGCCUCAAAGGAAUCUGUGGGAACUUCUCGACCUACGCCUGACGUGAUAAGUUUCGUCUCGGCCGGUCUUGAGGCCCGCUCAUAACACCCCAUAUCUUUUUGACAUUGACCUCAAAUCAGGUAGGGCUACCCGCUGAACUUAA